GUGCUUGCUUCCACAGCACACAUACUAAAAUUGGACCAACACAGAGAAGAUUAGCAUGGCCCCUGCGCAAGGAUGCAUGCAAAUUCAUGAAGUGGUCCAUAUUUAA
ensembl:snRNA Gm24449 U6 spliceosomal RNA